rnacentral:rRNA from 1 species
UAGCGGAACUCCUACGGGAGGCAGCAGUGGGGAAUUUUGGACAAUGGGCGAAAGCCUGAUCCAGCAAUGCCGCGUGCAGGAAGAAGGCCUUCGGGUUGUAAACUGCUUUUGUACGGAACGAAACGGCCUUUUCUAAUAAAGAGGGCUAAUGACGGUGCCGUAAGAAUAAGCACCGGCUAACUACGUGCCAGCAGCCGCGGUAAUACGUAGGGUGCGGGCGUUAAUCGGAAUUACUGGGCGUAAAGCGUGCGCAGGCGGUUCUAUAAGACAGAUGUGAAAUCCCCGGGCUCAACCUGGGAAUGGCAUUUGUGACUGUAGAGCUAGAGUACGGUAGAGGGGGAUGGAAUUCCGCGUGUAGCAGUGAAAUGCGUAGAUAUGCGGAGGAACACCGAUGGCGAAGGCAAUCCCCUGGACCUGUACUGACGCUCAUGCACGAAAGCGUGGGGAGCAAACAGGAUUAGAAACCCUAGUAGUCCACUUAUG